rnacentral:rRNA from 1 species
GAUGAACGCUGGCGGCGUGCCUAAUACAUGCAAGUCGAGCGAACAGACGAGGAGCUUGCUCCUCUGACGUUAGCGGCGGACGGGUGAGUAACACGUGGAUAACCUCCCUAUAAGACUGGGAUAACUUCGGGAAACCGGAGCUAAUACCGGAUAAUAUAUUGAACCGCAUGGUUCAAUAGUGAAAGACGGUUUUGCUGUCCCUUAUAGAUGGAUCCGCGCCGCAUUAGCUAGUUGGUAAGGUAACGGCUUACCAAGGCAACGAUGCGUAGCCGACCUGAGAGGGUGAUCGGCCACACUGGAACUGAGACACGGUCCAGACUCCUACGGGAGGCAGCAGUAGGGAAUCUUCCGCAAUGGGCGAAAGCCUGACGGAGCAACGCCGCGUGAGUGAUGAAGGUCUUCGGAUCGUAAAACUCUGUUAUUAGGGAAGAACAAAUGUGUAAGUAACUAUGCACGUCUUGACGGUACCUAAUCAGAAAGCCACGGCUAACUACGUG